rnacentral:rRNA from 1 species
CAAUAGCGUAUAUUAAAGUUGUUGCAGUUAAAAAGCUCGUAGUCGGAUUUGUGGCGUACGGUGUGUUCCGGGCACUUGUUGUCUGAGUAACCUGCUGUUGCCAUCCUUGGGUGGAACCUGUGUGGCAUUAGGCUGUCGUGCAGGGGAUGCCCAUCAUUUACUGUGAAAAAAUUAGAGUGUUCAAAGCAGGCUUAUGCCGUUGAAUAUAUUAGCAUGGAAUAAUGAGAUAGGACUUUUUUGCUAUUUUGUUGGUUUGCGCAAAGAGGUAAUGAUUAAUAGGGACAGUUGGGGGUAUUCGUAUUCCAUAGUCAGAGGUGAAAUUCUUGGAUUUUUGGAAGACGAACUACUGCGAAAGCAUUUACCAAGGAUGUUUUCAUUAA